AGUCGAGGGGUAUAAGUCUUCGGAUUUAGAGACCGGCGCACGGGUGCGUAACGCGUAUGCAAUCUACCUUUUACAGAGGGAUAGCCCAGAGAAAUUUGGAUUAAUACCUCAUAGUAUUAUGAAAUGGCAUCAUUUUAUAAUUAAAGUCACAACGGUAAAAGAUGAGCAUGCGUCCCAUUAGCUAGUUGGUAAGGUAACGGCUUACCAAGGCUACGAUGGGUAGGGGUCCUGAGAGGGAGAUCCCCCACACUGGUACUGAGACACGGACCAGACUCCUACGGGAGGCAGCAGUGAGGAAUAUUGGACAAUGGGCGCAAGCCUGAUCCAGCCAUGCCGCGUGCAGGAUGACGGUCCUAUGGAUUGUAAACUGCUUUUAUACAGGAAGAAACACUCCGACGUGUCGGAGCUUGACGGUACUGUAAGAAUAAGGAUCGGCUAACUCCGUGCCAGCAGCCGCGGUAAUACGGAGGAUCCAAGCGUUAUCCGGAAUCAUUGGGUUUAAAGGGUCCGUAGGCGGUUUGGUAAGUCAGUGGUGAAAGCCCAUCGCUCAACGGUGGAACGGCCAUUGAUACUGCCAGACUUGAAUUAUUAGGAAGUAACUAGAAUAUGUAGUGUAGCGGUGAAAUGCUUAGAGAUUACAUGGAAUACCAAUUGCGAAGGCAGGUUACUACUAAUGGAUUGACGCUGAUGG
rnacentral:rRNA from 1 species